rnacentral:rRNA from 1 species
CCUACGGGUGGCAGCAGUGAGGAAUAUUGGUCAAUGGGCGCGAGCCUGAACCAGCCAAGUCGCGUGAGGGAAGACGGCCCUAUGGGUUGUAAACCUCUUUUGUCGGGGAGCAAAAGACGCCACGCGUCGCGUUCCGAGAGUACCCGAAGAAAAAGCAUCGGCUAACUCCGUGCCAGCAGCCGCGGUAAUACGGAGGAGGCAAGCGUUAUCCGGAUUUAUUGGGUUUAAAGGGUGCGCAGGCGGAAGAGCAAGUCAGCGGUAAAAUUGAGAGGCUCAACCUCUGCGAGCCGUUGAAACUGGUUGUCUUGAGUGUGCGAGAGGUAGGCGGAAUGCGUGGUGUAGCGGUGAAAUGCAUAGAUAUCACGCAGAACUCCGAUUGCGAAGGCAGCAUACCGGCGGUCAACUGACGCUGAUGCACGAAAGUGUGGGUAGCGAACAGGAUUAGAUACCCGUGUAGUC